UUAAUGCCCGCGUCACACUGUCCCGAUUUUUACGCCGAUGGCAACACGAUUAUGGAAAUUUUCAAAAUCGGGACUGAUCGUAUCCAGAUCGGGCUAUUCGUAGUGCCAUCUUUAACCAUCGUAGAACCAUCGGCCAUUUUUUCUAGCCUUCGGGGACAACUUCGGGAAGGGUUCUAAAUUUUUUAACAUGUUAAAAAAUCCCCGAAGGUGCGUCCGAUGUUGAGGGUUCGUAUUGAGUUCGUAUCACCAUCCUCACCAUCGUAAUGUCACCGGGAAUGCAUCUUUGAACAUCGUAUUGCAUUCGUGUUUCCAUCGUUUCCAUCGGGCAGUUUUUACAUUACGAUGUCUACACGAAUGAAUCACGAAGCUACCCGAAGGUCUUACGAUGGCAA
rnacentral:lncRNA from 1 species